UUAAAGAUAAACAUUUAGAGCUUCAGGAACAUUUCAGUAAUGGGUGUGAAAGCAUUAUCAAGAACAUAUAGAAUUAAGUAAUUUAAAAGAUAAAAUAUAUUUAAUGUGAAAUGAGGGGAAACAUUGAAGAAGCUGAGUUGUUAAGUGUGUAAAUUCUGCAGCAAAAGAACUUUUGGAGAUCCUGAUAUUGGCUAUAGGAACCUACAGUUCUGCUUAAAAUUGUAAGUCGAUGGUACCCCUUUUUUGAUUGACAUGGGAGCUUCAAUGUCUUCAGUGACAUCCGACAUGAAUCUUCCAAUUUCCAAGAAGAACCAAGGUUUCCAAGCUAGUACUGAAGAUCUGCGUCCCCUCAAGAGGGGCUUCUUGGUUCGAGAUCGGUCAAAGGAAUCGACAAAUGCGGUCUAUUCAAAAAGCAAGGUUCAUUAGUUUAUUAAAUUAAGGUGUUGCAAUUCUAUCCAGCAACACAGAUUGAAGCUUCUGUGUUUCGGGGUGAAGUUGCGCAAUUACAUUUGAAAAUUACACAUUAUUCAUAUGUUUCUUUUAAGAAAUAGUACAGCCUUAAUUACAAGUAAGACCAAUCACAUAUCAUAAGGUGACAUGAUUUAUAGCAAGUUAAUCCAAUUAUAUUUUCUUUAAGAAGGAUAUCUAAUUUACGUAAAUUGUCAUGCCAUGUAUUAGUUCAAGGUUAGUUCAAAUAGUCAAUUAAUGUGUCAGUGUUCAUCUUAUGAAAACUCCAUUGUCCUCUUAUCUUUGAACUGCAAGUUAAUUCUGCAAAUCAGCAGUAUGUUCAGCAGUAUGGUUUACAGGCCAUUUUGUAGUAUUCUUUUAAAUUGAGAAACCAUUUUGUUGAAAUAAAAAUCUACAUAUUUGUGUUGCCUAAAUUCCAAUUUUAGAUCCUCAUUCCCCCCCACCUUUGGUCAUUUUAUGACCACACCAUAAAGGCAUGGAUCAAAUCAAUCCAAUUCAAUGGCAGCAAAGCACUGCCAUACUUCCUCUUCCUCCGAAGGGGAACUAAGGGCAGGCAAUGGUGUUUCCUCGUCUUCAUCUAAGUGGAGAAGGAGCAUUUUCUGGAUAGAGCCAAUAUUGUCAACAGAAGUUGAUAUUUUAGCAAUAAUACACGUAACUGUAGCAAUAUCAAUAAAAAGACCAAUUAAAACAAUAGCACCAUACAAAUACAUAUUCAUUAAUCAGUUAUACCCAUGAGCCAAACCCCAAUCUUCCCAUCCCGCACUUUCGUUCAUUUGGUUGACAAAAGUGUGAAUAUUAUCAAUAUGUCUAGUAAUGUUUUCGAAAAGAUCAGUGACCCUCGUAAUGCAUUUUCCUUUAACUAUAGCGCAAAAUCCACCUUCCUAAGCAAGUAUGUAAUCGGUUUUGUUGGGCAAAUAGGCGCAAUUCAGAAAGCAUUUCUAAUUUCUAUUAAGCUAGCAGUUGUCUCAUUUCCCAAAAUUGUGAGUCCAACAAUGAGAUAAUUAUGGUUUUGAUGACUAAUAAUUCUUAAGGACUCUCCUAAUGAAAGAACACCAAGAGCUGCAUAUGCCAAUGAGUGUGUUUUAUUUCUUGAUAUGGUCUUUGGAUUCUUCCAUUCUGCAGAGAAGUCAGGAGAAACUGUAUGUUUGAAAGAGGAAUUAUGAUUUCAUUGCCAGGUAAUUGGACAUGGAACAGGAGUUGGAAAUAGUAUUCCUACAGCUACGACACAAGGACUACUUGCUCUAUUCAGGACAAGGUAGUUAGCUGCCUUAUUAUAACUGAAAAAUAAUAUCCAUGUUUAGCAUAGGCAAUAGAGGGACCUUCCCAGUGAGGUGCAGGCCUAUAUUUAUGACUUCCUGGGGUAUGUGGAUAAUCCAUGAUUACAUAAUUCAGCCCUGGGUGCUGAGGGUGAAAAUCAUCCAGUACUAAUGAGGUGAGUUUCUUGAUAAGAAACAUGGUCAACAUCACAAAAUGGUUCUUCCCCUCCAAUAACUGGUGCCAUUAGGGGUAUCAUAAUGAAGGUGUGUGUUGUUACUUCUCCACAUAGAGUUUGAAUUCCAGUGAUAAUAGGGAUAUAUUUCGUUAAGCAAGGUCCUUCAGAAAAGUAGUGACGACUAAUACAUUUAAUCAUAGCACAAAAAAAAAUACGCACUCUAACAUAAGCGCACCCCCAUUCCUUGUAGUAAUUUGGAUAGGAUAUUGCGGAUUUAUUGAAGGAAGUCCAUAAGCAAGUAACAGGUGGGGAUAGGUAAUAACUAAAAAGGUACCCCCAUUCCAUACCCCCAUGUUAGGAUUUGGAAGGAUAAAACGGGUCAGGGAGUCUCUUACUGAAGUAAGGGCAUAACAAAUUACUUCAUCCUCUCCAAAAAUGUUAUUAUAGGUUUCUAGAAACAUACCUUCUUUUACUACAUGAUCUAUCUGAAAGGGGAUAAGGCUUAUCAGGGAUGCCCAUAGUACAAAUGUAAUCAAACUGGCACACAGCAGUUUUACAUGGUAAGGACCAUUUAGACUUGUUCUGUAAAUGAACUGUUAAUUUUUUAUGCAGCUGACCACUGCAAAAGUCUUUCUUGGCAACAUUCAGUCUUUUGGUACACAAGGACAUUUUCCUGGCAUAGUUGGUACACAGUCUCUGUUUGUUCAGGAUCGCACAGGUAAACUGUCCCUUCUUGUGCACCAAUGCUGGCAAUGGCAAGUCCACACAACAGGUCAAAUUCGAUCUUUAUCAUCUCCCCUUGCAAGGUUGGAGACCGUGAAGUAUCCAUUGUAAUAAAGUAUAAACUAUUUCCUCCUUGUAUGUAAGUAUAUACAAUAUACAUAUAUUCAAUUAAAAUAGGCAGCAGCAAAGAAGUAACACAAACUAAUCUGAUAGAGGUCACCCAUUUUCUGGUUUGAGUAUUGCGGGAGUACCUUAUUUGAGGCCAUAAUUUGUGCUCUUCAGCAGGCUCGUAGCCUAAGAGCAAUUUUGAAAUAAAUAAUUCUCAAAUUAAUCAAACUCAAAUAGCCCGCUGGAGUAAAUAUAUUGCCCAUACUGGCAAAAAGUUCAUUCAUUUUAAAUUAUGCACUAGCAUUCUCUUCCUACCCAUUAUUUUCUUAUUUUAUAUGGAAAAGCCCGGGCAUGGGUGAAUUAAGCAAACCUUUUUUUUUAGAUUAGAUUAGAUUACAUUACAGUGUGGAAACAGGCCCUUUGGCCCAACAAGUCCACA